rnacentral:rRNA from 1 species
UAAGGAAUAUUGGUCAAUGGACGCAAGUCUGAACCAGCCAUGCCGCGUGAAGGAUGAAGGUCCUCUGGAUUGUAAACUUCUUUUAUCUGGGACGAAAACGGGAUUUUUAUCUCAAUUGACGGUACCAGAAGAAUAAGCACCGGCUAACUCCGUGCCAGCAGCCGCGGUAAUACGGAGGGUGCGAGCGUUAUCCGGAUUUACUGGGUUUAAAGGGUGCGUAGGUGGGCUUAUAAGUCAGUGGUGAAAUCUCCGAGCUUAACUUGGAAACUGCCGUUGAUACUAUAGGUCUUGAAUUAUCUGGAGGUAAGCGGAAUAUGUCAUGUAGCGGUGAAAUGCUUAGAUAUGACAUAGAACACCAAUUGCGAAGGCAGCUUACUACAUAUAAAUUGACGCUGAGGCACGAAAGCGUGGGGAUCAAACA